rnacentral:rRNA from 1 species
GACGAACGCUGGCGGCGUGCUUAACACAUGCAAGUCGAACGGAAAGGCCUGCUUUCCCUUGUGGAUUGCGGGUACUCGAGUGGCGAAUGGGUGAGUAACACGUGAGUGAUCUGCCCCCAACUUGGGUAUAAGCCUGGGAAACUGGGUCUAAUUUCCGAUAGGACUGCAGGGUGGUGCCUGUGGUGGAAUACGAUUUUCUAGUGGUUGGGGAUGAGCUGGCGGCCUUUGAGCUUGGUGGAGGGGUAAUGGACUACCAAGGCGGCGACGGGUAGCCGGCCCGAGAGCGGCGACAGUGGGAUUGAGACUGGGACACGGCCCAGACGCGUGGGGGAGGCAGCGAUUUGUGGAAAUUGGGAAGGAGCGUAAGCCUGAAGCGGCGAGGGCGCGUGGAGGAUGACGGCCUUCUAGUGGUAAACUCCUGUCAACGAAAAGGAAUGCACCUGGAUGGAAGGGUGAUGACGGUAGUGGUAGAAGAAGCACCGGCUAACUACGUG